rnacentral:tRNA from 1 species
GGGCGGGUAGCUCAGUUGGUUAGAGCGCUUCCCUUACAAGGAAGAAGUCGUAGGUUCGAGUCCUAUUCCGCCCA